UACGGAGGGGCUAGCGUUGUUCGGAAUCAUUGGGCGUAAAGAGCGCGCAGGCGGUCGUUCAAGUCGCGUGUGAAAGCCCCGGCUCAACUGGGGAGGGUCACGCGAUACUGAUCGACUCGAAGGCAGGAGAGGGUAGUGGAAUUCCCGGUGUAGUGGUGAAAUGCGUAGAUAUCGGGAGGAACACCAGUGGCGAAGGCGACUACCUGGCCUGUUCUGACGCUGAGGCGCGAAAGCUAGGGAGCAACGGG
rnacentral:rRNA from 1 species